UAGAAAGAUCAACAGAACUCAGCUGAAUUUUGCAAGUAGCAGAAGAUACCGCGGUUACUGUAUUUUUAAAAGAUUAUCUGCUUGGGGAAAAGGAGGCAAUUAGUUUUUCAGCUCUUUCAGAAUCAUGUGUUGAAAUGCAUUGCCAUUAUUCAACUGGAGAAAUGUGUAAAGAAGCUGGCCGAUUUAAAUAUCAUUGAGCAUCUCCUGAAGGAGAUAAAUCUGCUCUGAGAAAUCAGAAAUGAUUAAGAUGGCUUUCCUUGGCUGUUAAAAAGGGUCCAGUUUUGCUCUCCAUCU